GAUCAGAGAGCUAGGAUCUCUGCUGCACAGUAGAGAGGCUUCCUUAAGAUAUUUGUCCUUGAAACUGCACCAAACUCUUGGAAGAACCCAGAACCUAGCUGGCAAUUUACUGGUUCAUCAACGAAACAAUAUUGAAUUAUGAAGAUGUAAGAAAAAUUCCUGUGCACACGUUGUUGAAGUUUAAAAGUUUUCUAGGGAGCCCUAUAAUAUUCAGAAGACGAUAGAGGAGACUCCCAGAGCUGAAAGGGUG
rnacentral:lncRNA from 1 species